rnacentral:misc_RNA from 1 species
AACGCACAUUGCGCCCUUUGGUAUUCCUUAGGGCAUGCCUGUUCGAGCGUCAUUUAGACCCUCAAGCUAUGCUUGGUGUUGGGCGCCUGUCCUGCCUGUGGCUGGACUCGCCUUGAAGACAUUGGCGGUUGUUGUAUCAGCUGGAAGCGCAGCAGAGACGCGCCUCUCCUGGCCUGAUGCCCUCCCCCAAGAAGCCAAACCUAUGACUUGACCUCGGAUCAGGUAGGGAUACCCGCUGAACUUAA